ACAUAUCAUUAAGCGGAGGAAAAGAAACUAACAAGGAUUCCCCCAGUAACGGCGAGUGAAGCGGGAAGAGCUCAAGCUUAAAAUCUCCAUACUUGUAUGGCGAAUUGUAGUCUAUUGAGGCUGUUGUCAGCAUCGCGAUUGGGGACAAGUCCCUUGGAAAAGGGCAGCAUGGAGGGUGAUACUCCCGUCUCUGCUCCAAUCUGCGGUGUGUACGAUACGCUUUCUUUGAGUCGAGUUGUUUGGGAAUACAGCUCAAAGUAGGUGGUAAAUUCCAUCUAAAGCUAAAUAUUGGUGCGAGACCGAUAGCGAACAAGUACCGUGAGGGAAAGAUGAAAAGAACUUUGAAAAGAGAGUUAAAGAGUACCUGAAACUGUUGAAAGGGAACCGUAUCGUUUCCAGUGUUGUAUCCUAUGCAUAUUUCAUUCGUGGAGUAAUUUACGGGUGCCCUGUGCAUGGGUGUGACGUCAGGGUCAGUUUGUAUGCUGCGGGAGAUGGUCAGUGAGGAGGUGCGUCACUUCGGUGAAAGUUAUAUCUCGCUGUCUAGUAGCCGUGGUUGAGACUGAGGUGCCUACAACAUGCCUUAAGGUUCUAUGUUGUCUCGUGUUGGUGACUGCUUUGAUAGCUUGCUAUGUCUGUGGUUUAUUAAUGCGAUUGAUGAUGUGGAUAACUUUUGCUGUUCGGGACUCUGGCGAAAUGGAGCGA
rnacentral:rRNA from 1 species